GCGAACGUUAGCGGCAGGCUUAACACAUGCAAGUCGAGCGAGAAAGGGGCUUCGGCUCCGAGUAAAAGCGGCGGACGGGUGCGUAACACGUGGAUAAUCUGACCUCGUGGCGGGGGACAACAGUCCGAAAGGACUGCUAAUACCGACAUGUCAAGGUCGGAAACUCCGGUUUCUGACGAAAAAGAGGGGCGUCCGCAAAGGAGCUCUCACCACGAGAUGAGUCCGCGUCCCAUCAGCUAGUUGGCGGUGUAAUGGACCACCAAGGCUUAGACGGGUAGCUGGUCUGAGAGGAUGACCAGCCACACUGGGACUGAGACACGGCCCCAGACUCCUACGGGAGGCAGCAGUGGGGAAUAUUGGACAAUGGCGAAAGCCUGAUCCAGCCAUGCCGCGUGAGUGAUGAAGGCCUCGGUC
rnacentral:rRNA from 1 species